AAAUUGAAGAGUUUGAUCAUGGCUCAGAUUGAACGCUGGCGGCAGGCCUAACACAUGCAAGUCGAACGGUAACAGGAAGCAGCUUGCUGCUUUGCUGACGAGUGGCGGACGGGUGAGUAAUGUCUGGGAAACUGCCUGAUGGAGGGGGAUAACUACUGGAAACGGUGGCUAAUACCGCAUAACGUCGCAAGACCAAAGAGGGGGACCUUCGGGCCUCUUGCCAUCAGAUGUGCCCAGAUGGGAUUAGCUUGUUGGUGAGGUAACGGCUCACCAAGGCGACGAUCCCUAGCUGGUCUGAGAGGAUGACCAGCCACACUGGAACUGAGACACGGUCCAGACUCCUACGGGAGGCAGCAGUGGGGAAUAUUGCACAAUGGGCGCAAGCCUGAUGCAGCCAUGCCGCGUGUAUGAAGAAGGCCUUCGGGUUGUAAAGUACUUUCAGCGGGGAGGAAGGUGUUGUGGUUAAUAACCGCAGCAAUUGACGUUACCCGCAGAAGAAGCACCGGCUAACUCCGUGCCAGCAGCCGCGGUAAUACGGAGGGUGCAAGCGUUAAUCGGAAUUACUGGGCGUAAAGCGCACGCAGGCGGUCUGUCAAGUCGGAUGUGAAAUCCCCGGGCUCAACCUGGGAACUGCAUUCGAAACUGGCAGGCUUGAGUCUUGUAGAGGGGGGUAGAAUUCCAGGUGUAGCGGUGAAAUGCGUAGAGAUCUGGAGGAAUACCGGUGGCGAAGGCGGCCCCCUGGACAAAGACUGACGCUCAGGUGCGAAAGCGUGGGGAGCAAACAGGAUUAGAUACCCUGGUAGUCCACGCCGUAAACGAUGUCUACUUGGAGGUUGUGCCCUUGAGGCGUGGCUUCCGGAGCUAACGCGUUAAGUAGACCGCCUGGGGAGUACGGCCGCAAGGUUAAAACUCAAAUGAAUUGACGGGGGCCCGCACAAGCGGUGGAGCAUGUGGUUUAAUUCGAUGCAACGCGAAGAACCUUACCUGGUCUUGACAUCCACAGAACUUUCCAGAGAUGGAUUGGUGCCUUCGGGAACUGUGAGACAGGUGCUGCAUGGCUGUCGUCAGCUCGUGUUGUGAAAUGUUGGGUUAAGUCCCGCAACGAGCGCAACCCUUAUCCUUUGUUGCCAGCGGUCCGGCCGGGAACUCAAAGGAGACUGCCAGUGAUAAACUGGAGGAAGGUGGGGAUGACGUCAAGUCAUCAUGGCCCUUACGACCAGGGCUACACACGUGCUACAAUGGCGCAUACAAAGAGAAGCGACCUCGCGAGAGCAAGCGGACCUCAUAAAGUGCGUCGUAGUCCGGAUUGGAGUCUGCAACUCGACUCCAUGAAGUCGGAAUCGCUAGUAAUCGUGGAUCAGAAUGCCACGGUGAAUACGUUCCCGGGCCUUGUACACACCGCCCGUCACACCAUGGGAGUGGGUUGCAAAAGAAGUAGGUAGCUUAACCUUCGGGAGGGCGCUUACCACUUUGUGAUUC
rnacentral:rRNA from 1 species